GACGAACGCUGGCGGCGUGCUUAACACAUGCCAGUCGAACGGAAAGGCCCUGCUUUUGUGGGGUGCUCGAGUGGCGAACGGGUGAGUAACACGUGAGUAACCUGCCCUUGACUUUGGGAUAACUUCAGGAAACUGGGGCUAAUACCGGAUAGGAGCUCCUGCUGCAGGGUGGGGGUUGGAAAGUUUCGGCGGUUGGGGAUGGACUCGCGGCUUAUCAGCUUGUUGGUGGGGUAGUGGCUUACCAAGGCUUUGACGGGUAGCCGGCCUGAGAGGGUGACCGGCCACAUUGGGACUGAGAUACGGCCCAGACUCCUACGGGAGGCAGCAGUGGGGAAUAUUGCACAAUGGGCGGAAGCCUGAUGCAGCAACGCCGCGUGCGGGAUGACGGCCUUCGGGUUGUAAACCGCUUUCGCCUGUGACGAAGCGUGAGUGACGGUAAUGGGUAAAGAAGCACCGGCUAACUACGUG
rnacentral:rRNA from 1 species